UGCAAGUCGAGCGAACAGAUAAGGAGCUUGCUCCUUUGACGUUAGCGGCGGACGGGUGAGUAACACGUGGAUAACCUACCUAUAAGACUGGGAUAACUUCGGGAAACCGGAGCUAAUACCGGAUAACAUAUUGAACCGCAUGGUUCAAUAGUGAAAGGCGGCUUUGCUGUCACUUAUAGAUGGAUCCGCGCCGUAUUAGCUAGUUGGUAAGGUAACGGCUUACCAAGGCAACGAUACGUAGCCGACCUGAGAGGGUGAUCGGCCACACUGGAACUGAGACACGGUCCAGACUCCUACGGGAGGCAGCAGUAGGGAAUCUUCCGCAAUGGGCGAAAGCCUGACGGAGCAACGCCGCGUGAGUGAUGAAGGUCUUCGGAUCGUAAAACUCUGUUAUCAGGGAAGAACAAAUGUGUAAGUAACUGUGCACAUCUUGACGGUACCUGAUCAGAAAGCCACGGCUAACUACGUGCCAGCAGCCGCGGUAAUACGUAGGUGGCAAGCGUUAUCCGGAAUUAUUGGGCGUAAAGCGCGCGUAGGCGGUUUUUUAAGUCUGAUGUGAAAGCCCACGGCUCAACCGUGGAGGGUCAUUGGAAACUGGAAAACUUGAGUGCAGAAGAGGAAAGUGGAAUUCCAUGUGU
rnacentral:rRNA from 1 species